AUGGAGUUGCGGAUGGUCGCGACAUUACGUCGAGGAAAGUCCGGACACCACAGGGCAUGAUGGUGGGUAACGCCCACUCGGAGUAAUCCGCAGGCUAGUGCCACAGAAAGUAGACCGCCCCGUAAGGGGUAAGGGUGAAAGGGUGGAGUAAGAGACCACCAGCGGGUGUGGUGACACGCCCGGCUCGGUAAACCCCAUC
rnacentral:RNase_P_RNA from 1 species